GACGAACGCUGGCGGCGUGCCUAAUACAUGCAAGUAGAACGCUGAAGGAGGAGCUUGCUUCUCUGGAUGAGUUGCGAACGGGUGAGUAACGCGUAGGUAACCUGCCUGGUAGCGGGGGAUAACUAUUGGAAACGAUAGCUAAUACCGCAUAAUAGUAGAUGUUGCAUGACAUUUGCUUAAAAGGUGCAAUUGCUUCACUACCAGAUGGACCUGCGUUGUAUUAGCUAGUUGGUGAGGUAACGGCUCACCAAGGCAACGAUACAUAGCCGACCUGAGAGGGUGGUGGGCCACCCGGGGACUGAGGACCGGCCCAAACUCCUACGGGGGGAAACGGUAGGGAAUCUUCGGCAAUGGACGGAAGUCUGACCGAGCAACGCCGGGGGAGUGAAGAGGGUUUUCGGAUCUUAAAGCUCUGUUUUAAGAAAAGAACGAGUGUGAGGUUGGAAAGUUCACACUGGGACGGUAUUUUACCAAAAAGGGGCGGCAAAUUACGG
rnacentral:rRNA from 1 species